rnacentral:rRNA from 1 species
UAGAGUUUGAUCCUGGCUCAGAUUGAACGCUGGCGGCAGGCUUAACACAUGCAAGUCGAGCGGAGAUGAGGUGCUCGCACCUUAUCUUAGCGGCGGACGGGUGAGUAAUGCUUAGGAAUCUGCCUAUUAGUGGGGGACAACAUUCCGAAAGGAAUGCUAAUACCGCAUACGUCCUACGGGAGAAAGCAGGGGAUCUUCGGACCUUGCGCUAAUAGAUGAGCCUAAGUCGGAUUAGCUAGUUGGUGGGGUAAAGGCCUACCAAGGCGACGAUCUGUAGCGGGUCUGAGAGGAUGAUCCGCCACACUGGGACUGAGACACGGCCCAGACUCCUACGGGAGGCAGCAGUGGGGAAUAUUGGACAAUGGGGGGAACCCUGAUCCAGCCAUGCCGCGUGUGUGAAGAAGGCCUUAUGGUUGUAAAGCACUUUAAGCGAGGAGGAGGCUACUGAGACUAAUACUCUUGGAUAGUGGACGUUACUCGCAGAAUAAGCACCGGCUAACUCUGUGCCAGCAGCCGCGGUAACACAGAGGGUGCGAGCGUUAAUCGGAUUUACUGGGCGUAAAGCGUGCGUAGGCGGCUUUUUAAGUCGGAUGUGAAAUCCCCGAGCUUAACUUGGGAAUUGCAUUCGAUACUGGGAAGCUAGAGUAUGGGAGAGGAUGGUAGAAUUCCAGGUGUAGCGGUGAAAUGCGUAGAGAUCUGGAGGAAUACCGAUGGCGAAGGCAGCCAUCUGGCCUAAUACUGACCGCUGAGGUACGAAAGCAUGGGGAGCAAACAGGAUUAGAUACCCUGGUAGUCCAUGCCGUAAACGAUGUCUACUAGCCGUUGGGGCCUUUGAGGCUUUAGUGGCGCAGCUAACGCGAUAAGUAGACCGCCUGGGGAGUACNGUCGCAAGACUAAAACUCAAAUGAAUUGACGGGGGCCCCGCACAAGCCGUGGAGCAUGUGGUUUAAUUCGAUGCAACNCCAAAAACCUUUACCUGGCCNUGACAUACUAGAAACUUUCCAAANAUGGAUUGGUGCCUUCGGGAAU